AUGACUGGAGAAUUCACUAGAAGAGAAGGGAUGUCAUUUAGAAGGGCACCUAUGGGACGAUUCAAGAAGAGGCCUUUGACGAGGAAGGUGGUGAUGCAGAGCAUACAAAGGAUGACCUUGAUAGGAGCUCAUGUUCAACAUAUUUUGCUUGCUUUGCUGCUGGUGUACCUCGUCGACGUAAGGAAUGCCACCACCGCGGAGUUCUUCUCAAGCGCGGCCACAUUGUCUAGGUCACCGUCUGCUUCACUGAUAGGCUCCUACCUGUGCAUCCACUGCCCUGGCCUCAAGGAAGCCGGUUGUGGCAGGCCCAAAAUCGUCUUCAUGGAGAAGGACUUCCUCGUCCUCUCCAUCUUCUUCCUGCCCGUCCUUAGAGGGCGGCACGAGCACUUCGUCUACAAGGCUAUCCCCGUGUCAUCACUGUGCCUGCUCCUAGGUCCCUACCUAUUCAUCCUCACAUCCUCGGAUCUCGACGUCCUGCCUUAUGAUGAUGACAGCCUCUUUGUCCUGGCCGCCCUAUGCUAUUCACCGAUCCCUUGGGUUUUGACCUCCAUAUCUCCUCCUCCAGGAUCUGGGUUUAGAGGUGCAAAGUGCCACAGGUGGAGCUAUCGCUCCAUGUUAGAGCACAGAUGA
rnacentral:rRNA from 1 species